GGGGUGUCAUUCCACAGAUUUCCAGUAAUUUUAGAACUGUGCGCAACUCGUCUGAAGCUCUCAGUUGCACUUGUGGACCGAAAUAAAGCCGUAUGCAGCCUCCACACUUCAAUCCAUAAAAUAUUUCACGGAAAAGUGCCUCAAAAGUGAAGCGCUCGAAGUACGUGCGAUCCUUUGCUAAAGACUCCCUACCAAUCGCAUUCAUUGGUACCACAUCUUUUGAUGGAAAGCAAUAUGCAGAACUACUUGAGUGUGACCAUCUCUGUUCUCACAUGUCACGAUAAAGAGCCUAUUUUUAUUUUAGAUGGAAACAGUCAAUGAGAAUGGAUAUGCAACAUCAUACGGUGUAAGAAAUCCAGGCAAAGGACACAUGAAGAUGUCAAUCGUAUUACCAAAGCUGAUUCGAAAUAAGUUUUGAAAGUAUUAUAGAAACAAAUUCUACUCCAAUGCAACGAAUAAGUUAGAGUUAGCAAUUAUGUUUUAUUAUUUCUUACUAUUUUUAUGCAGAAUUAAGAAAAAUGAUGGACUUGAUCUUUAAUUGUUUCGAAUAAUUAUAAAAAGUAAUGAAUUUAUCCUAAUUUAUAGAUAGCUAUUUUUAAAAUAAAUUUAUUCUCUAUUAAAAUUUUUGUUUUUUUAACCUACUUCAAUUCAAUUUGCAAGUUUGUGGCAAAAUAUUUAAAUUGUGUCUCGUGUUGGAUUCACAUAAUGAUUUAUACUUGAAAUUCUCCUAGAUCUUUGCAAAAAAAAAACUUCUGGGUAAAUUUCUGUCUCGCUUCAUAAAAGGACAUAAAAUAGAAAAGAUUUCAGCAUCUUACCUCGAAAUAAUUUAGAUUACAGUUCUUCAAUAACUUGCCAAUUUUAGUGUGACAGAACUGUCAGAUCUUCAGUAGAAAUCUGAUUUCUUCAGAAGAAAUGGUAAACUUCACAGAUGUGAUAAUCUUAUAAUGUGAGUAUUUUCUUACCCAAAAUAUUCUAUUUGAUUUGAUUUGAGAUUCUAUUUAAUGAAUAUAAUAUUACUGGUUUGAUAUUUCGUUAGCAUUAUAGUAAAUGUAACACUUGAUGCUGAUAUUUAAACAUAAGUUAAAAAACAAUUCCUUAUUUUUGUAUUUUCAUAUGCAUUCUAUAAAAUUUAUUACCACAACGAAGCAAAAAUAAUGAGGAAUAAUAGAUGUAUAGGGUAAAUGUCCUAAUUAGAAAUCAUUUCCAGAUCCAGAUGCUUUAAUUUUGACAGAAGAUUCAACACAUUAAGUUCAUAUUUUUUCUGAAGAGAAUUACAUAAAUUUGCUCCUUGACUCUUCUAGAAUGUUACUGUUUAGUGAAAAUUCUUUGGAUAUAAUUUGAAAACUUCUUAAAUACAAGAAAAAUUCGCGAGCGUAAAAUGUUUCUAUUGGAAAUAUAUUAAUCCAAAUGGAGACAAGGGAAAGUUUCUAAUUGGAGACAAACAGUGUAAGUGAAACAGCGACGAAAGGCUUCCAAAACCUUGUUAAGUUGCUCCUGAGUGCAGGAUUUGUUCUUAUUCCUGGUCUUUUCUUCUUUCCCAUCUAAAACAAUAAGAAAAUCUCUCCAAAAAAAAUCAUAUUUCCGGGGUUUCGUAUUGAAGCAUUUGCAGACACUUCAGAAAAACCCUUUUUGUUCACGAAAUAGGUGAUUAUUUCAUUUGAAAACUUCACGUAUCGUUAACAAUAAAGGUUAGCACUUAAUUUAACUAAAAUUAGCCAGAAAUAUGACAUAAAUGUUAAACAAAACGAAUAAAUAACAGUCACUUUAUUGUGUUUUUCAUUGGAAAACAUGGUCGAUCGAUGAAAAAUUCAAUGAUGAAAAGAUACACUUUUAAUUUUUCUGAGAAAUGAAUAAAUUAAAAUUUGUGAAUAUGAAUGGAUUUUCGCUUUACUUGGAGCAAAAUUAACUAAAUAAUGAAACUGUGGUAUAGGAAAUAUAUAAAUAUAAAAAUUUAAUGCUGUCUUUAUUAUGAAAAAAUUGACGUUUCCAUUUGGGGUAGCAAAAGAUUUCCAUUUGGAGCAGGUUUUGAAUUAGCUUAAUUUACCCUAAAGAAACAGUAAUUCUGACAAUAAAAAAGCAUACAAAUCCUGAAAACAUUGGAAAUGAUAUUUUUAGCGAAAGUGAGAAAAUAAUUCAUUUCAAAAUGGAAUAAUUUUACGUCGUAUUCUAUAAUUCUAAUACACUCAGCAAAAAAUAUAUAAAAUAAAAUUCUUCUUCUUCUUCUUCUUCGCUUUAAAGUUUUAGGCCGGACGUUCUGACAACAUCCACACAGCCUAUUAAAUAAAAAUAAAUACCAAAAGAUUUUACCCCUAAUUACAUCCCUGUCGAAGCGCCAUCUCUAACAAAUUAGAUGUACACAACGGGUACUUGAAAAAUAACGAAAAUUUUUAAAAUAACACUAAAAAAAGAACUCACAGUGCAACUUCUAACUGUGGGGG